AGGGUAUGUGACGGAGGUGUCUACAGAUCAGGGUAUGUGGCGGAGGUGUCUACAGAUCAGGGUAUGUGGCGGAGGUGUCUACAGAUCAGGGUAUGUGGCGGAGGUGUCUACAGAUCAGGGUAUGUGGCGGAGGUGUCUACAGAUCAGGGUAUGUGGCGGAGGUGUCUACAGAUCAGGGUAUGUGGCGGAGGUGUCUACAGAUCAGGGUAUGUGGCGGAGGUGUCUACAGAUCAGGGUAUGUGGCGGAGGUGUCUACAGAUCAGGGUAUGUGGCGGAGGUGUCUACAGAUCAGGGUAUGUGGCGGAGGUGUCUACAGAUCAGGGUAUGUGGCGGAGGUGUCUACAGAUCAGGGUAUGUGGCGGAGGUGUCUACAGAUCAGGGUAUGUGGCGGAGGUGUCUACAGAUCAGGGUAUGUGGCGGAGGUGUCUACAGAUCAGGGUAUGUGGCGGAGGUGUCUACAGAUCAGGGUAUGUGGCGGAGGUGUCUACAGAUCAGGGUAUGUGGCGGAGGUGUCUACAGAUCAGGGUAUGUGGCGGAGGUGUCUACAGAUCAGGGUAUGUGGCGGAGGUGUCUACAGAUCAGGGUAUGUGGCGGAGGUGUCUACAGAUCAGGGUAUGUGGCGGAGGUGUCUACAGAUCAGGGUAUGUGGCGGAGGUGUCUACAGAUCAGGGUAUGUGAGCAGAGUUGAGUGGUUAGAAAUCCAACCCCUCCGGUCUUUUUCCAGUCACUUAGCUAAAAACCGUUCUGUACUCACAGGGGAAAAAGCUGCAGCUCCAAAUACGCUUAAUUUAUUAAAAUCACAAUUUAACACCCAUAUAUUUUUAUGACAACCUGGACCAACCAUUUGGUUUUGAAGUAUUGAAACCAAACCAUAUGAUUUCAAUUAUAUUUAUAAUAUUUGAAUAAACAUGAAAAAGGUGAAUGUAAGACUUGCACAUAAUUUCAAAUAGGCUACAUGUAAUAUUAAACAGCAUAAAUAGGUCAGAGGAAGGGAUGAAAUGGUUACUGGUUUCACGAUAAAAUUCCCUGACAAUUAGUAUUACCGUUUCAAAUUUUAAUUAAUAUUAAAACCGUGUUUGCUUACCACGGUUUGAAAAACUCUCGGUAAAUACUGUCCAGCAUCAACCAAAGUUAGCAACAGUCUGAUGCAGGCGCAGCCUGCAACGUGGGUUUUGUGUGAAAACAUAGCGGAAGAUAGUGACAGCGCUCGGGAGAUUUUUCAGCCUUCUAAGAGGACCAAAUCUGGACCAAAAAGUGCGGUCGUAUUUUGGGUUUUACAAGAGUGCUGAGGGGAACAUAAUCGAAGAUGGUCACCCCGUCUGCAGAACAUGCAAAAAAGAAAAUUGCUGCGAUAGGGGGCAACACUUCAAAUUAUUUUGUAGAUUUUACUAGGAAAGUCAGCUAAGAACAAAUUCCUAUUUACAGUGACGGAGUAUUUACAGUGACGGGGGCCUGGGAUUAAAAAAUAAUUAAAAUACAAAACACAUUACAACAAGAGAGACAACACAACACUGAGGAAAUGUUUUUUCUUUCCAAGAACUCCAGAAUGGUUCUGUAACCUGUUUGGAUAUAAGGCCUAAUGCCCUAUUUUUAUUUUAUUUAUUUACAUUUAUUUAACUAGGCAAGUCAGUUAAGAACAAAUUCUUAUUUACAAUGACGGCCUACCAAAAGGCAAAAGGCCUCCUGCGGGGACGGGGGCUGGGAUUAAAAAUGUGAAAAUAAAUAUAGGACAAAACACACAUCACAACAAGAGAGACAACACAACACUACAUAAAGAGAGAGUUUCCUCAUCUCCCACCCCUUCUAUUGCGACUAUCCCCGACAGGGACUGGGAGACUAGUCAGGAUCAAGGGGAAAAUGAAAGGACAUUCAACCUGACAGAGCUUGAGAGGAUCUGCGUCUGAAUACUUAACGAAUGCACUUUAUUACUCCACCUCUCCACCAUGCUAGCUGAUGUGUGGUGAGCAUUCUGGCAGAAAAUCGUUGCAGUGCAUCACCCAGGUGGGUGCUACACAUUGGUGGUGGAUGAGGUGAGUUUCCCCUUUACUGUGUAAAGCGAUUUGAGUACCGCAGUUGAUAAAAAGGCACUACAUAAAUCCAAUCCAUUAUUAUUAUUAUUAUUAUUAUUAACCACACAUAUUCAACUGCCAAUUUACUGUUAGUUGCCUUCAGUUGGUUAGGCCUACAUUAUCAUUCUAUUACAUUGUUUUGUUUACCUUAAUUUGCUUCAUCUAUAAAUGCCGUCAACAGCCUUGCUGCUGAGGAACAUUAGUAAAAGUUUAUUUAUAUAUAUAUUUUUUAAAGACAUGUAGGCUAAUUAAAUUGUUAUGGACUGGAGCGCAGACCAAGCCGUAACAGUUUGAACCUGACGCAUGGCACAAUACUUGGCUGUAUCAUGGCACAAUACUUGGCUGUAUCAUGGCACAAUACUUGGCCGUGUCAUCACACAGUUCCAUGGUUAGUGCAGGCAAUAGACGAGGGUAUAGCCUACUAUUGUACACUAUUCGCCCUAUUAUAUUUCUAUGUACACUAAUAUUCUAACAUUACCAUGAAUUUAAUAACUAAAUGUGUGUCACGCCCUGACCUUGGAGCCUUUUUAUGUCUCUAUUUGGUUUGGUCAGGGUGUGAUUUGGGGUGGGCAUUCUAGGUUUCAUUUUUCUAUGAUUUUGUAUUUCUACGUUUUGGCCGGGUAUGGUUCUCAAAUCAGGGACAGCUGUCUAUCGUUGUCUCUGAUUGGGAACCAUACUUAGGUCGCACUUUUCCCUCCUUUCUUUGAGGGUAGUUAACUUUGUUUGUGGCACAUUGCCCUUAUGCUUCACGGUUGUUUUUGUAUUGUUUAUUGUUUUUGUCGGCGUCAUCCAAAAAAAGUGAAAAUGUACGCUCACCACGCUGCACCUUGGUCCUCUUCAAUCAACGGCCGUGACAAUGUGGCAAUUUUUUUAAUUAAUCAAACCACCAUUUCCUUUAUUUAGUGCGUAAAGGCCCUCCAAAACUGUUUUUUGUGAUUCAUAAAUACUUUACUAAAUCUAAAUCAUCUACAAGAUCAGAGUAUUUUUUUUUUAUCAAGCAAUUGGUACUGAAACAUUUCUCCCUAAUAUUCUG